UACAGAGGUCUCGAGCGUUGUUCGGAUUCAUUGGGCGUAAAGGGCGCGUAGGCGGCCACGCACGUCCGUUGUGAAAUCGCCUGGCUCAACUGGGCGGGGUCGGCGGAUACGGCGUGGCUAGAGCAAGCUAGGGGGCAAUGGAAUUCCCGGUGUAGUGGUGGAAUGCGUAGAUAUCGGGAGGAACACCAGUGGCGAAGGCGGUUGCCUGGAGCUUUGCUGACGCUGAGGCGCGAAAGCGUGGGGAGCGAUCCGG
rnacentral:rRNA from 1 species